AGACACUUCUAGAUUGGCGAUCUCUGCGGUCCCAGCAAGACAAAGAGUAUGAAGAGUCUUUGCUAGCAGACCAAGAAAAAGAAAGGAGAAGACAGUGUUACAAGGCCUGGGAGGAAAGACGCAUAAAAGCAAUUGAAGAACGCCAGCAACGACUGGCGGUACAUGAAGAACCAUCAAGUGGGCUGCUUUUGAAGUUCAAAUAUCCGAAUGGAUUUAUCACAAAGAGAACUUUCAAUGUGUCUGACCCAAUCCAGGUCUUGUUUGAUUUUGUCGGACA